CUGCUUCAGCAGGCAGCACAUAUAUUAAAAUUAGAAUGAUACAGAAAAGAUUAGCAUGGCCCCUGCACAAGGAUGACACGAAAAUUCAUAAAGUAUUCCAUAUAUUA
ensembl:snRNA U6 U6 spliceosomal RNA